rnacentral:rRNA from 1 species
AUACGGAGGAUCCGAGCGUUAUCCGGAUUUAUUGGGUUUAAAGGGUGCGCAGGCGGCCAUUUAAGUCAGCGGUUAAAUCGUGGGGCUCAACCCCAUUCUGCCGUUGAUACUGGGGGGCUUGAUUGCGGUCGAGGUUGGCGGAAUUCGUUGUGUAGCGGUGAAAUGCAUAGAUAUGACGAAGAACACCGAUUGCGUAGGCAGCUGACCAGACCGCAAAUGACGCUCAUGCACGAAAGUGCGGGGAUCGAACAGGAUUAGAUACCCUGGUAGUCCGCACAGUAAACGAUGAAUACUUGUUUUCGGCGAUAUAAUGUCGGAGGCAAAGCGAAAGCGAUAAGUAUUCCACCUGGGGAGUACGCCGGCAACGGUGAAACUCAAAUGAAUUGACGGGG